GCUACCACGCGAGUGGAUGCCAAUCCCUAAAACCCCUCCUCAGUUCGGACUGGAGUCUGCAACCCGACUCCACGAAGCUGGAUUCGCUAGUAAUCGCGCAUCAGCCACGGCGCGGUGAAUACGUUCCCGGGCCUUGUACACACCGCCCGUCAAGCCAUGGGAGCCGGGGGUACCUGAAGUGCGUAACCGCGAGGAUCGCCCUAGGGUAAAACUGGUGACUGGGGCUAAGUCGUAACAAGGUAGC
rnacentral:rRNA from 1 species